UCCUACGGGAGGCAGCAGUGGGGAAUAUUGCACAAUGGGCGCAAGCCUGAUGCAGCAACGCCGCGUGAGGGACGAAGGCCUUCGGGUUGUAAACCUCUUUUAGUAGGGAAGAAGCGACUGGGUUUUCCUGGGAGUGACGGUACCUGCAGAAAAAGCACCGGCUAACUACGUGCCAGCAGCCGCGGUAAUACGUAGGGUGCAAGCGUUGUCCGGAAUUAUUGGGCGUAAAGAGCUCGUAGGCGGUUUGUCGCGUCUGCUGUGUAAACCCGAGGCUCAACCUCGGGCCUGCAGUGGGUACGGGCAGACUAGAGUGCGGUAGGGGAGAUUGGAAUUCCUGGUGUAGCGGUGGAAUGCGCAGAUAUCAGGAGGAACACCAAUGGCGAAGGCAGAUCUCUGGGCCGUAACUGACGCUGAGGAGCGAAAGCAUGGGGAGCGAACAGGAUUAGAUACCCUGGUAGUCCAUGCCGUAAACGUUGGGAACUAGAUGUGGGGACCAUUCCACGGUCUCCGUGUCGCAGCUAACGCAUUAAGUUCCCCGCCUGGGGAGUACGGCCGCAAGGCUAAAACUCAAAGGAAUUGACGGGGGCCCGCACAAGCGGCGGAGCAUGCGGAUUAAUUCGAUGCGACGCGAAGAACCUUACCAAGGCUUGACAUAUACCGGAAACGGCUGGAAACAGUCGCCCCGCAAGGUCGGUAUACAGGUGGUGCAUGGUUGUCGUCAGCUCGUGUCGUGAGAUGUUGGGUUAAGUCCCGCAACGAGCGCAACCCUCGUCCUAUGUUGCCAGCACGUAAUGGUGGGAACUCAUGGGAUACUGCCGGGGUCAACUCGGAGGAAGGUGGGGAUGACGUCAAAUCAUCAUGCCCCUUAUGUCUUGGGCUUCGCGCAUGCUACAAUGGCCGGUACAAAGGGCUGCGAUACCGCAAGGUGGAGCGAAUCCCAAAAAGCCGGUCUCAGUUCGGAUUGAGGUCUGCAACUCGACCUCAUGAAGUCGGAGUCGCUAGUAAUCGCAGAUCAGCAACGCUGCGGUGAAUACGUUCCCGGGCCUUUACACACCGCC
rnacentral:rRNA from 1 species